rnacentral:tRNA from 1 species
GCGGUCAGCCGUGCUCGGUGCGUGCUCGUACGCCCCGUCACGUGUCGUCCUUCUAAUCCGACGGUCGCAGGUUCGAAUCCUGCAGGGCGCG